rnacentral:rRNA from 1 species
GAUGAACGCUGGCGGCGUGCCUAAUACAUGCAAGUCGAGCGAACGGACGAGAAGCUUGCUUCUCUGAUGUUAGCGGCGGACGGGUGAGUAACACGUGGAUAACCUACCUAUAAGACUGGGAUAACUUCGGGAAACCGGAGCUAAUACCGGAUAAUAUUUUGAACCGCAUGGUUCAAAAGUGAAAGACGGUCUUGCUGUCACUUAUAGAUGGAUCCGCGCUGCAUUAGCUAGUUGGUAAGGUAACGGCUUACCAAGGCAACGAUGCAUAGCCGACCUGAGAGGGUGAUCGGCCACACUGGAACUGAGACACGGUCCAGACUCCUACGGGAGGCAGCAGUAGGGAAUCUUCCGCAAUGGGCGAAAGCCUGACGGAGCAACGCCGCGUGAGUGAUGAAGGUCUUCGGAUCGUAAAACUCUGUUAUUAGGGAAGAACAUAUGUGUAAGUAACUGUGCACAUCUUGACGGUACCUAAUCAGAAAGCCACGGCUAACUACGUGCCAGCAGCCGCGGUAAUACGUAGGUGGCAAGCGUUAUCCGGAAUUAUUGGGCGUAAAGCGCGCGUAGGCGGUUUUUUAAGUCUGAUGUGAAAGCCCACGGCUCAACCGUGGAGGGUCAUUGGAAACUGGAAAACUUGAGUGCAGAAGAGGAAAGUGGAAUUCCAUGUGUAGCGGUGAAAUGCGCAGAGAUAUGGAGGAACACCAGUGGCGAAGGCGACUUUCUGGUCUGUAACUGACGCUGAUGUGCGAAAGCGUGGGGAUCAAACAGGAUUAGAUGCCCUGGUAGUCCACGCCGUAAACGAUGAGUGCUAAGUGUUAGGGGGUUUCCGCCCCUUAGUGCUGCAGCUAACGCAUUAAGCACUCCGCCUGGGGAGUACGACCGCAAGGUUGAAACUCAAAGGAAUUGACGGGGACCCGCACAAGCGGUGGAGCAUGUGGUUUAAUUCGAAGCAACGCGAAGAACCUUACCAAAUCUUGACAUCCUUUGACAACUCUAGAGAUAGAGCCUUCCCCUUCGGGGGACAAAGUGACAGGUGGUGCAUGGUUGUCGUCAGCUCGUGUCGUGAGAUGUUGGGUUAAGUCCCGCAACGAGCGCAACCCUUAAGCUUAGUUGCCAUCAUUAAGUUGGGCACUCUAAGUUGACUGCCGGUGACAAACCGGAGGAAGGUGGGGAUGACGUCAAAUCAUCAUGCCCCUUAUGAUUUGGGCUACACACGUGCUACAAUGGACAAUACAAAGGGCAGCGAAACCGCGAGGUCAAGCAAAUCCCAUAAAGUUGUUCUCAGUUCGGAUUGUAGUCUGCAACUCGACUACAUGAAGCUGGAAUCGCUAGUAAUCGUAGAUCAGCAUGCUACGGUGAAUACGUUCCCGGGUCU